rnacentral:rRNA from 1 species
UGCGUAGGCGGAAUUUUAAGUCAGUGGUGAAAUCCUGCAGCUCAACUGUAGAACUGCCAUUGAUACUGAUAUUCUUGAAUUUAGUUGAGGUGGGCGGAACGUGUAAUGUAGCGGUGAAAUGCUUAGAUAUUACACAGAACACCGAUUGCGAAGGCAGCUCACUAAACUAAUAUUGACGCUGAGGCACGAAAGCGUGGGUAGCGAACAGGAUUAGAUACCCUGGUAGUCC